AUUGAACGCUGGCGGCAUGCCUUACACAUGCAAGUCGAACGGCAGCACGGGAGCAAUCCUGGUGGCGAGUGGCGAACGGGUGAGUAAUAUAUCGGAACGUGCCCAGUCGUGGGGAUAACGUAGCGAAAGCUACGCUAAUACCGCAUACGAUCUAUGGAUGAAAGCGGGGGAUCGCAAGACCUCGCGCGAUUGGAGCGGCCGAUAUCAGAUUAGGUAGUUGGUGAGGUAAAGGCUCACCAAGCCGACGAUCUGUAGCUGGUCUGAGAGGACGACCAGCCACACUGGGACUGAGACACGGCCCAGACUCCUACGGAGGCAGCAGUGGGGAAUUUUGGACAAUGGGCGCAAGCCUGAUCCAGCAAUGCCGCGUGCAGGAUGAAGG
rnacentral:rRNA from 1 species